rnacentral:rRNA from 1 species
UACGUAGGGCGCGAGCGUUGUCCGGAUUUAUUGGGCGUAAAGAGCUCGUAGGCGGCUUGUCGCGUCGACUGUGAAAACCCGCGGCUCAACUGCGGGCCUGCAGCCGAUACGGGCAGGCUAGAGUUCGGUAGGGGAGACUGGAAUUCCUGGUGUAGCGGUGAAAUGCGCAGAUAUCAGGAGGAAUACCGGUGGCGAAGGCGGCAUCCUGGACCGACAUUGACGCUGAGGAGCGAAAGCUAGGGGAGCAAACGGG